rnacentral:rRNA from 1 species
AACGAACGCUGGCGGCAUGCCUAACACAUGCAAGUCGAACGAGACCUUCGGGUCUAGUGGCGCACGGGUGCGUAACGCGUGGGAACCUGCCCUUAGGUUCGGAAUAACUCCCCGAAAGGGGUGCUAAUACCGGAUAAUGUCUUCGGACCAAAGAUUUAUCGCCUUUGGAUGGGCCCGCGUUGGAUUAGCUAGUUGGUAGGGUAAAAGCCUACCAAGGCGACGAUCCAUAGCUGGUCUGAGAGGAUGAUCAGCCACACUGGGACUGAGACACGGCCCAGACUCCUACGGGAAGCAGCAGUGGGGAAUAUUGGACAAUGGGCGAAAGCCUGAUCCAGCAAUGCCGCGUGAGUGAUGAAGGCCUUAGGGUUGUAAAGCUCUUUUACCCGGGAUGUUAAUGACAGUACCGGGAGAAUAAGCUCCGGCUAACUCCGUG